ACGGAGGGGGCUAGCGUUGUUCGGAAUUACUGGGCGUAAAGCGCACGUAGGCGGCUAUUCAAGUCAGAGGUGAAAGCCUGGAGCUCAACUCCAGAACUGCCUUUGAAACUAGAUAGCUAGAAUCACGGAGAGGUGGGUGGAAUUCCGAGUGUAGAGGUGAAAUUCGUAGAUAUUCGGAAGAACACCAGUGGCGAAGGCGGCCCACUGGACGUGUAUUGACGCUGAGGUGCGAAAGCGUGGGGAGCAAACAGG
rnacentral:rRNA from 1 species